rnacentral:rRNA from 1 species
UACGGAGGGUGCGAGCGUUAUCCGGAUUUAUUGGGUUUAAAGGGUCCGUAGGCGGGCCUGUAAGUCAGUGGUGAAAUCUCAUAGCUUAACUAUGAAACUGCCAUUGAUACUGCAGGCCUUGAGUAAAUUUGAAGUGGCUGGAAUAAGUAGUGUAGCGGUGAAAUGCAUAGAUAUUACUUAGAACACCGAUUGCGAAGGCAGGUCACUAAGAUUUAACUGACGCUGAUGGACGAAAGCGUGGGGAGCGAACAGG